rnacentral:lncRNA from 1 species
UCAGCCUCCCAAAGAGUUGGAAUUAUAGGCAUGAUCCACCAUACCCAGCCUAUAUUUCUAAGGUGUUCCAGGAAAGUGGUCUAGACGCAGAACACGAAAGAGAGUUCUUGGAUCUCCCUUCUUAUACAAGAAAGAACUUGGCACAGAGUCCAACAAAAUACAGUGAAACCAAGUUUAUUGGAGAAGUAAAGAAACAAAGGAACGACUACUCCAUAGGCAGAACAGGAUGUUCCCAAAAGCGAGAGGAAGAAGCUGCCCACCUUUAUGUACAGUGCUUGUUUAUAUAUGACAAAGGAAAAAAGUCACGGGGGAGGUGUGCUCUACUCCAAGGGCUUGUGAGGAAGGAUUCUUAAUCUUUGUGUAACUACGGACUUUUAAGAACCUAUAUUAUUAUCUUUAAAGUGAGACUUAGUCUCAAAUGAAGAAUGCUUUUGUCCUAAGAUAUUAGAACAUCAGGACGUUUCCUUGGUCUCUAUUAAGUCCUGGGCCUGUUCGGUAAACAUUAUUAAUCUGUUCCCUUAACUGUAAACAUCUUGUGACUAAGAAUGCCUACUCCUGGGAAUGGAGCUCAGUAAGUGUCAGCCUCACUUUAUCCAGGCCCCCACUCAAGAUGGGGUGGCUGUGGUUGGAAGGCUCCUGACACAGUAGUGGGGGAAGGGAUGGG